GAUUUCUGGCGAACCGGCUCAACCCGAUACUGUAUGGUAUUGAGUGCCGAGUCGUGUUGGUCAUCCUUCCGGAAAGCUGCGUCUACCAUUCAGUUGGCCGGACGUACGUGAUCCGGAUCUAUUACUUUGAAAAAAUUAGAGUGUUUAAAGCAGGCUUAUGCUAUGAAUACAUUAGCAUGGAAUAAUAAUUUAGGACUUCGGUUCUAUUUUGUUGGUUUCUAGGACUGAAGUAAUGAUUGAUAGGGACAGUUGGGGGUGCUAGUAUUCCGCGGCCAGAGGUGAAAUUCUUGGAUUCGCGGAAGACUAACUACUGCGAAAGCAUU
rnacentral:rRNA from 1 species